CUUGGACAUGGUGGCUGAGCUUUUCUCUGACAGUGAUCUCCCUAAACUAUCUGAUUACAAGUCUGCUGACAUCAACAGUGACGAUCCUCCAAUCAGAAGUCUUCCAGAUGAGUUACCACCUCAGCCAGAAGUGUCAAGGGAGUCACUUUCCCUCCAAAAAAUAACAGC